CACCUGCAGAAACACUGGAACUCAUUGCUGUUAACCAAGUAGUCCAAAUGACAUUGCCUGACCACUCGGAUUUACAAAUGAUCCCUGAAUGGAAGAAGCAAUAUAUUAGCUAUGAGACCCUGAAGUCUAUGCUGAAAAAUGAAGAUAGACUUAACCUCGUUUGUUAUGGAAACAGUCAAAGAUCUGUGACAGAGGAAUUCUUCAAAAGCUGUGAGGAAGAGCUGAACAAGGUGAACCUCUUCUAUUCAGAGAAACUAUCAGAAGCUCACAACAGACUGGCGACAUUUGGGAUUGUAGCUCAGGACGUUUCUGGAUCCAAUCAAGGAGAUAAUCGAAUCAUCAGAAUUUCCGCACCUAUUAAAAGAAAAAACACCAGUAUAAAACAAAUCAAAAUGGCAGUUUGUGAGCUCUACCUGAGCCUG